UACGUAGGGUGCGAGCGUUGUCCGGAAUUAUUGGGCGUAAAGAGCUUGUAGGCGGUUUGUCGCGUCGGCCGUGAAAACCUGCAGCUUAACUGUGGCUUGCGGUCGAUACGGGCAUCACUGGAGUUCGGCAGGGGAGACUGGAAUUCCUGGUGUAGCGGUGAAAUGCGCAGAUAUCAGGAGGAACACCGGUGGCGAAGGCGGAUCUCUGGGCCGAUACUGACGCUGAGGAGCGAAAGCGUGGGGAGCGAACAGG
rnacentral:rRNA from 1 species